rnacentral:rRNA from 1 species
UUCUCUUCGGAGCAGAGGUGACAGGUGGUGCAUGGUUGUCGUCAGCUCGUGUCGUGAGAUGUUGGGUUAAGUCCCGCAACGAGCGCAACCCUUGUCAUUAGUUGCCAGCAGUUCGGCUGGGCACUCUAGUGAGACUGCCGGGGAUAACUCGGAGGAAGGUGGGGAUGACGUCAAAUCAUCAUGCCCCUUAUGUUCUGGGCUACACACGUGCUACAAUGGCUGGUACAAAGAGACGCAAGACCGCGAGGUGGAGCAAAUCUCAAAAACCAGUCCCAGUUCGGAUUGUAGGCUGCAACUCGCCUACAUGAAGUUGGAGUUGCUAGUAAUCGCGAAUCAGAACGUCGCGGUGAAUGCGUUCCCGGGUCUUGUACACACCGCCCGUCACACCAUGGAAGUUGGGGGCGCCCGAAGUCGGCUAAUUAAUAGGCUGCCUAAGGCGAAAUCAAUGACUGGGGUGAAGUCGUAACAAGGUAGCCGUAUCGGAAGGUGCGGCU